UACAGAGGUCUCAAGCGUUGUUCGGAUUCAUUGGGCGUAAAGGGUGCGUAGGCGGCGCGGUAAGUCGGGUGUGAAAUCUCGGAGCUUAACUCCGAAACUGCAUUCGAUACUGCCGUGCUUGAGGACUGGAGAGGAGACUGGAAUUUACGGUGUAGCGGUGAAAUGCGUAGAGUAUCAUGAGGAAGACCAGUGGCGAAGGCGGGUCUCUGGACAGUUCCUGACGCUGAGGACAGAAGGCCAGGGGAGCAAACGGG
rnacentral:rRNA from 1 species